UUGACAGAGGUGGUACGUCUGUUAAACGGUAACGCAGGUGUUCCAAAGCGAGUUCAGCGUGGACGGAAACGAUACGUCCAGCAAAAAGGCAAAAUCACGCUAGAUCUCGAUUAUCAGUUCGAAAAUGUGGCCCAUCUAUCCUUUCCAAAUACCAGAGAG
rnacentral:rRNA from 1 species